GAUUGACUUAAAUAGUAAGGGUCCGGGGAUACCUAAGGAGGGGUUUUUGCCUUUUAUGGUGUGAUGGAGAUGAAGCAGGACCUCGAUCAGCAACAGUCGCCGUCGCCGGCAGGCGACCACGACUUCCCCGUUCCUCCGCCGCAGCGCCGCCUCCGUGGAUUCGCCGCCUCCGUCUCUGGCGGUGGCGGAGGCGCCGUCGCAACGAAGGGGAGGAAGGAGCGGGAGAGGGAGAAGGAGCGGACGAAGCUUCGGGAGCGGCACCGGCGAGCGAUCACGAGCCGGAUGCUCACUGGCCUUCGCCAGUAUGGGAACUUUCUCCUCCCGGCGAGAGCGGACAUGAACGACGUGCUCGCCGCCCUCGCACGCGAGGCCGGGUGGAUCGUCCAGCCCGAUGGAACCACGUACCGACAAUCCCCCGCCCUUGCCUCCUCCAUCCCAGCCGACGUUCCACCAGUUCAAUUUACACCAAUUCCAAUUAGAUCCGAUGAAAGUCCUUUAUCUCCCACUUCCCUGAAGAAUUACUCUGUUAAAGCAUCAUUAGACACUCAGGCUGCCCUUCUUAGGAUUGAUGAGACAUUAUCACCGGCAUCCUUUGGUUCUGUUGUUGCAGAAAGAAACAUAAAGAAUGAUAAAUGUGCUAGUACAAGCCCCGUUAACUCACGUGAGAGUUUCGAACCUGACCAGCUGAAUCGAGAACAUGCACAUGAUAAUGCUGAAUGUGCUGGAACUUCUUAUGUGUCUAUUUAUGCUUUGCUCUCGAGUGGCAUGAUGAACACUUAUUGUCAACUGGUCAAUCCAGUAGCUGUGCGACAAGAAUUAAGGCAUCUGGAGUCAUUAAAUGUCGAUGGGGUGAUUGUACAUUGUUGGUGGGGAGUGGUGGAAGGAUGGAAUCCAGGCAAGUAUGAUUGGUCUGGUUACAGAGAUCUCUUUAAUAUUAUUCGAGAGUUCAAACUGAAGCUUCAGGUGGUAAUGGCAUUUCAUGAAUCUGGAGGGAACAGUUCUGGUGAUAUUUCAAUCUCCCUACCCAAGUGGGUCCUGGAGAUUGGAAAGGAUAAUCAAGAUAUUUUUUUCACAGAUCGUGAAGGUAGGAGAAGCACUGAAUGUCUUUCCUGGGGAAUAGAUAAAGCACGUGUGCUGAGAGGAAGAACUGGGGUUGAGGUCUGUUAUGAUUUUAUGAGAAGUUUUCGAACAGAAUUCAGUGACUUGAUUGAGAGUAGAUUUAUUUCUGCUGUUGAAAUUGGACUUGGUGCUUCAGGGGAAUUGAAAUACCCUUCAUUUCCAGAAAGAAUGGGUUGGAGAUAUCCUGGCAUCGGUGAGUUUCAGUGCUAUGACAAAUAUAUGCAGAAGAAUCUUCGACUUGCAGCAAAAGCACGUGGACACUUGGUUUGGGCAAGAGGACCUGAUAAUGCUGGGCAUUACAAUUCAAGGCCAGAUGAAACUAGAUUCUUCUGUGACAAGGGAGAUUACGACAGCUACUAUGGACGUUUUUUUCUUCAUUGGUAUGCACAAACACUCAUAGACCAUGCAGAUCAGAUAUUAUCCCUUACAAACCUGGCAUUUGAAGGAAUAGAAAUUGUCGUUAAGAUUCCUGCAAUUUACUGGUGGUAUCGGACAAGUAGUCAUGCUGCUGAACUCACAGCUGGGUUUCACAAUCCUACAAAUCAAGAUGGCUACGCCGCAGUUUUUGACAUGCUUAAGAAACACUCAGUAACUAUGAAAUUUACAUCUUCCCAACCGCAGGCUUGUGUUCAGAUAAAUGAAGGAGCAUUUGCUGAUCCUGAAGCAUUAAGCUGGCAGGUUCUGAAUGCAGCCUGGGAAAGAGGAUUAAAAGUAGCUGCUCAAAGUACUCUUCCUCGCCAUGCCAGAGAUACAUACAUUAAAAUCCUACAGAUUGCUAAGCCAAAAAAUGAUCCUGACUGUCACCAUCUCUCAUUCUUUGCUUAUAAUCAACAGUUUCCAGCUAUAGAGAUGCAGAGAGAGAUGAUAUCGGACCUUUGCAGUUUCAUCAAGACCAUGCAUGGAGAGGCCAAUGAUGACAUUGAAGAUUGAGGUGUUAUCAUAUUCACAUAGAUCCUCAAACGAAUGCAGUCAAGGUGCAGUCUCUGUUCGAAUGAAAUGUCACAGUGAAAUGCCAGCGACACCAUUUUUUAUUAACACCUCCCUCAACCUGGGCUGUGUAUUACUUGGUUACCUUAAAGGUGCUCUGAGCUUGACCUUUAAGUUGAAUCAUACAACCUUCUUGUGGUGAAUGCAAGUUGGAUUUUCUGACUUCAACCAUUGGAGAACAUUAGCAUGAAGAGGGAGGUCUUCACAUCAUGUUUGUGGAUUGAAGGAAAUCCAAUUGUUACACUACAGGUCUUCAUGUCUUCAAGUCUCAAAUGAACAUGAGAAUCAGGAACCAUAACGUUUCUGAACGGCAUGAAAGUUCACAGGCAGAUGAAUGAAAAUGGGGUUUGUUUGAAAAGGCAGGCAUAAUGCACCUGACACACAUUAUCUUUGUCGCUUCGUGUGCUUUAGCUGUCGUCCCUCCUUGCGUGCAUUCGGAAGAGUUUCAACAGGUUUUUGAAAAGUUCAGGAGGCAUUGUUGCAUCUUUACAAUUUUCCUACAUUUUUUUUAGAAAAUUUGUUGAUUCAUUUUAUUAUUAUUUUUAGAAAAAUAUAUGACUAAACUCUUCUUGAGAC